GAUGAACGCUGGCGGCGUGCCUAAUACAUGCAAGUCGAGCGAACAGACGAGGAGCUUGCUCCUCUGACGUUAGCGGCGGACGGGUGAGUAACACGUGGAUAACCUACUUAUAAGACUGGGAUAACUUCGGGAAACCGGAGCUAAUACCGGAUAAUAUAUUGAACCGCAUGGUUCAAUAGUGAAAGACGGUUUUGCUGUCACCUAUAGAUGGAUCCGCGCCGCAUUAGCUAGUUGGUAAGGUAACGGCUUACCAAGGCAACGAUGCGUAGCCGACCUGAGAGGAGGAUCAGCCACACUGGAACUGAGACACGGUCCAGACGCCUACGGGAGGCAGCAGUGGGGAAUAUUGGACAAUGGGCGAAAGCCUGAUCCAGCAAUACCGCGGGGGUGAAGAAGGCCUUCGGGUUGUAAAGCCCUUUUGUUGGGAAAGAAAAGAAGCAGGUUAAUACCCCGCUGUUCUGACGGUACCAAAAGAAUAAGCACCGGCUAACUUCGUG
rnacentral:rRNA from 1 species